rnacentral:tmRNA from 5 species
GGGGCUGAUCGGUUUCGACAGCGCCUGCGAACCCGCGAGAAGCGGGCCGAGGAUGUGGGGUUAUCUCGUAAACGCUCCCUGCAAAACAAUAAGUGCCAAUGCUAAGCGCACUGACUUCGCCCUCGCUGCGUAAGCGAGCCCGAUAGUCCGUCAGACCGUGUGUGACCCCGCCACGGAAUCUGGCGUCAUUUAGGGGUCUUGCUGUGUGACGGCGUCUGGACGUCACGCGGGACUUUUCCCAGGCUGGGCUUGUCGACUUAGGUGUCUGUGACAAAGGUCGGAGCCGAGCAGAACGUCUGCACAGACUGCGCCCGGAGAAAACGCGGAGACCCAGCGUUGGACGGGGGUUCGAUUCCCCCCAGCUCCACGA